GGAGAGAGGGAGAGAGGUCGGCGCCGGUAGAGGAUCAGGUGGGCGGGGGCGUCUGGGUGGGGACGGCGCUCAUACCUUCCGCCCAUGGGUGAGUCGGAGACGAGGAUACUGCUUCAGCGUGUCGUGGACGACCUGGGCGACAGCGGCCCAGUUCUGCUCACAGAAACAGGCAUAACCAAGGUCAAGGACCCUUCUUCAACCGCCCGAGGACCAAGUAGUAGAGAGAGAGAGAGAGCGCGACUGAUGUGUCUGCUCGCACGUACCUUCUCAUCUACGUUACGAUAAUGUACAGAAACGCAAAACUUGUUGUUCUCGACCUUUGCGCCGGCAAUCUCGCCUGCGCUCUCGACGAGGGACUUAAAAACCUGCUCGCAGAUGCAGAGGCAGAAGAGACUUAAAAACCACCCCGUCGGACAGAAGGAUUAGGAGAAGGAGAAGAAGAGGAGGUAGAAGAAAGAGGAGGAGGAGGAGGUGGAGCAGAUAGUUACCUCCUCGAUCAUGGGAAUGAACUCACUCGCAGGCUGGAACAGAUUCACUUCCUUGCCCUGCAGAACACCGGAGCAGAAGACCAACAAGUUUUUAGAGGAGCGAAUCAGAAAAGAAGAUGAGGAACAAGGAUUGGAGCAUGGGAGUGCAUCGCCGACCUGCUUAUCAGUGGACCUGACGCAGUUGGGAUGGUUGUCAACAGGCUCCGACAAUCGGACGGGGCCCAUUAUGUCCAUCCCAUGGCUACCGGCGUAAUAAAGAUUGGUUAGUCCGACAAAUUCGUAGACCUGCAAUAGAGAAUUUACGAGGGAAGGUUCACUCUCUCGGACAGGAGACCCCCCGUCUCCAUAGGAGGAGAAUCUAAAGAAAGUUGACGGAACCAGAUGGGAGAGGGCUGUACCUUAUCGCGGCUCCUCCCACUGAUGAUUGCCGUAGGGACGUACUUCGAGACAUUUUGUACGGAGGUACGCAUCUGAGAGGGAGCCCCAAAAUCGUAGUCAGAUGUGAAUAGAGCGUAAGGAUGGAGUUUUGCCUGGAAGAUGGAUUAUCGUGGGGGAUUAAAGAUGACCAGCAGAUACUUACCGCAUUGGACAUGAAAGCGCGGUCAGGUUCGUCGACGAUGGGUGAAAGGGUUCCGUCGUAGUCCAGGAACAAUGCUACGCGCUUGCCGCUGGCCUUUUCUACGAUUUGCUCGAAUGAAGAUAAAGCCGACGGGUACUUCAGCUAUUAACAGAAUUCGCACGUCAGAGGAAGAGAAUAAAAAAUGAAGACACUAGAUCGAAGCAGAGAGAAGAAAAUGAAGCCAGAAUGAGUGUCGUCGACUCACCAUCCAGGAACGGUAAGAGGCGUCAGUAUCUUCGGGUAAAAGGUCGACGCAGCUAUCCUUGCAGAGCUUUCUCCGGGGAGAAGAUGAGGCCAUUGAGUCUAGCCAACCGUUAGAGAGGACAUCAUCAAGUAAUCCUGGAGCAGCCCUUUUCAAAGAUAUUGCAAGGUAGAGAGGAGUCGGGAAGGUGGUCGCCAAAUUGGACGGCAUGCCAAAUCUCGACUUGUUUACAGGCACGGGUUCAGGGAGAACAGGAGCGUGUUUCGGGAUUAUAUCCAUGGGAUCCAGAUCAAUUGGGAAGCCUAUGUCAAAAAAAUGCCUACAAUUCCUAACUGUGAUCUCAGCGGAACGAGUGGGUGUUCCCGAAUCCGUCACCCAACUCUUUUAUCAAUGAAGAACCACCUCUUUAAUGUCUUCUUGUCACUGGUGUUGUGGAUGCAGUCCAUUAAGCGAGCGCUUCCUGAGAUCUGAUCACAAAAAGAUGUGUUAGAUCCGAGAUAUUUACGGAGAUCAUAGAUCAUAGUUUUCUCGAUAAGAGCAACCCUUCGAUGUAUUCCAAAAUCCAAAAUUCAGACAGACCUUCCCAUUCGCAGGACCACGCAGCAUCUAUAGCAAGUAGCCAAACAUUGGUCGAGGCCGGGAAUCUACUCUUGCUUCAGAAAGUACCGAUCCAACACAGAAAUAUCUGCUGAACAGAACGAACUUACAUUAGCCUCAUAAUCACGACCGCACGAUAAAAUUACAUGAAAGCAGAAAACUUGAUUCCCUUUCUACCUUCCAUUUCAAAAUAAAUUCGGAAUAGUUUUGGGUAGACACAGACGCAAUCCUUGAUGCGUACUGAUCUCUUUAUAUAUAUAUAUAUAUAUAUAUAGAGAGAGAGAGAGAGAGAGAGAGAGAGAGAGAGAGAGACCGGAAAGAAAAAAUGAGUAGCAGUACUACUAUUAGAUCGAUGAAAUGAAGUCAUACAACAGAAUACUUCCUGUUCUGCUAAUGUAGCGAAAAACGUAAAUUAUGUGUGGAAAUUUCUCAGAUGUUUCCGUUGUAACGUCGUACUCGUCCCAUGUGAGAACAGGCGGCACUUCACGUCAAUUUUUUACUCGUCGAAAUUUACGUUCUCGUGACCCGAAGAUUUCACGGACUAUUAAAUGAUAGCUACAACCAGACUAGGCCAUACGGUGUGUAGAUACCAGACCUACUGAGUAAAGUUAGACCUUUAUUGUUUCAACCAAUUAUCAUAGAAAGAGUCGUAAGACUGGACGCCUCGGAGAAAGAUCCGGGACCUUUGUCCGCUGAAGCGAUAGGUAUGACAAUGUUCGGCAUAACACGAUAAAAGUCCAAAGAAAGUUCAUGGGUCUAAUAAAUCGCACAUUUCAGCGUAUAAACCCACAAAUGAGUACAACUUCAAGUACACACGUGCAUCAAAGCAUGACUAUGGGUCGAGUGAUCUAUGUGAUAUCAUGAGAUUCACGAGGGUUAUCCACGAUGUUUUGGCGAUAAUGUUUAGAAGAGUAGGAAUAUAAAUAUUUUAUCGUCUAGAGGGUUCGUCGCUGGGAAAAGAAGAAGAGACAGUGAAACAGGAAGGUCACAUCACGUCGAUGCUUGCGUCACAAGAGGCUCAAUCAGUUGUACCAGAAGUUGGCAGGUGCAAUGCAUAAAAUACCACAACAAAGAGGAAGAUAGACGAAGCAACCACCCUAAACCGGCAAAUUAUCGAAACGGAAGCCCGCGUUAACGUUCCUCUCGUCCAAAGUUCCGACGGAACUGACGAGCAAUAACAUAGAAUAAGCUGGUUACGCAGUUUUGAUGUGACUUUUCGCCAGGAGACCAGACUCUGAACACGCAACGACGACGAAAUAAAUUCUCGACAGUAAAUCCAGAUCUGGAGACUUCACCACGAAGCUUCCCCCAAAGAAGAAAACAAAGAGCGCAAGAGCAACAGCCUCGAUAAACCAAGCAGCCGAUCUCGCCAGCUAAGAACAACAAUCCAAGAGUCGAAACAAACCCGAGGGGACCAGAUGGAAUGUCACGGGGGUGGGAAGGCAACCACAGGAGUAAGAAGAAGAGAAGAAUAGUUCUCGCAUACCUGCCUCUCGAAUCCGAGCGAUCGAUCAGCAAUCCUCAACCCAAGCAGGCCAGGAUGACAAGAUUCUCCGUAAUGCAGCGGCCACAAGGAUCGAGGGAGCGACACAAACAGCACCCCGCGAAGCCGAGGCCGGGAGCCGCCGGAGUCCGGAGCCCCGACAGAAACCAGAACCACCAAAAAGGAGAAGAUCGGCUCGCCGGCCGGGAGAGGGGGGGCUCUUUGGCUCCGAGAUCAGGAAGAAAAGAGAAGAAGAAGUGGAGGGCAAGAAUCCAGGGGUAUUUAUAGAUGGAGGAGACGUGAGCCGCAAGCAUAGAAACUACCGCGAAACCUCCCUCUGAAGGGAAAUACCGGCCUCCCAAUGUGGGGACCACCACCGACGCGCAUUUUUCAUGCCGACCUCUAACCGACCGACACGUAUCUCCCUUCCAGAAAGUCUUUCUAUCCCGCGGGGCCCACGGCGGCUUAAAACCCGUGACGGGGGCUCACGGAGAUCUCGAAGCCGUCGGCCGGACGGUCAGGAUUCGGCCGAUGUGGACCGCACCCAUACCUACGGUUGGCGGUUGUUUACUUCACUGUGCCAUCCCUUUCCACGUCAUUAAUAUAAUUUAAUUGUACGAAAAAUCCCCCGUAUGUUGACGGGAGCCGUUGUGGAAUUAUCCACGUGGAAAAUAAUAUUUCCUUGUUCAAAUAAUAAUGGAGGAUCUCUGACAGUCACUUCCUUGGAAGCCUUCCUGCCGCGUUCGAGCGGGGGGGAAUUGGCCGAUAUAUAUAAUCAAUAAAUAAAUAAUUCGGCGUGGCACCUGCGUGGCUGUGGGGCCCAUGCUGGUUUCGGCUCCCGCAAUGCAGUCAAUGCGUGUCGGUGUGGAGGAUACGCGGGUUGGGGGGGGGGAAGGGGGGGAACGGGCGAUAAAAUAUUCCGCGGAGCAGUCUGUUAGAUCAGGCGUGACGCCCACAGAAAGGCACGUGCCAGGCGCAGCUUCGGCAGCUUCACACGGAGGCGUCGAAUAUCGCUGGCGGUUAAUGGGGAUCUUUGACUAAGCGGACCCACCAACCCCCGAGAGAGAGAGAGAGAGAGAGAGAGAGAGAGAGAGAGANNNNNNNNNNNNNNNNNNNNGAGAGAGAGAGAGACAGACAGACAGACAGGACAGACGACAGCUGGCUGACAGCGAGGGAACGAGUCAGGGAGCCCCCAGUCGCCGGGUGCUCUUAAUAUAUAUAUUGUGCAUGAUGCGUCAGCAAUCGACGUGGCAAUGACGAGUCUCGGGGUGGGUGACGCGGAGGUGACAAGGUCAGCGGUGGACGGGGCGGAUGGCGGCUGGCAGAUCCAGGAGAGGGAGGGAGAGAGAGAGAGAGAGAUUCAAGUCAAACGGAGUGUUGGGCUGUUUCAAAGUUUGGAUUUUUCGGGUGACAAGGAAGUUUCCUACCUACUGGUCAAGACCUCCACGAAGGCGCAGACCCGGCCCAGAUAAGAAAUGGCCCAUGCCAGGUGUUAACUACUUCAUUGGUCUUAUGUUUCAGGUUCUGGGCUGUCCAAAUACGAGAGAAAGAAGAGAGAGCGAGAGAGAGAGAGAGAGAGAGAGAGAGAGAGAGAGAGAGAGAGGUGAGACCAACAAGAGAACAAGUGGAACCCUCCCUCUUCUUCUCUCACCAAACCCCAAAAUCUCAUCUCAUGCUUAUUUGACUCUAUAAUACUCUCCCCAACACCUAGAAAUUGACUGGGAUAUCAUCUCUUAUGUCCCUCAUCCUUUUGAGAAGGAAUGUGGAGACAGAGAAAAGGAGGACAUUAAAACACUUAUAUUUAUUUACUAGGUCAUUGCUAAUGUCCCUCCCAUGGCUACUAUGCAUGUCAUCACGUCCAUUGAUUUCUUGCCCCAUUUUUACAAUCCAUAGGUUUAAUGACUCGAUAAACAACAUUAUUCAUCCUUAAGUUAAUUAAGUUACAAACACAAUAAAUUACUCUAUCUAAACACAACAAUCUCUCUUCUCUAGGGCCUUCAAUGCAAAGGAACAUUAGACAAUUUGAGACACUGAUGAAACUUUGCUGCUAGCAAUGGCUUAGUCAUCAUAUCAGCUAUAUAAUCUUGAGUUUGAGCAUUCACAAGUUGGAUGUCUCUUUAAAAUGAACUCACAUCACCUGUGAAAUUGAACAUCAAUGUAGUUUUUCCUUAAAUGAUAAAUCAUAUAUUUCACUAGACAAAUUGUACACACUAUUGAAAUGUAAAUAUGUAAAUUAAUUAAUGACAAGUUUUUUGCCAUAUAUUUUAAUCAAAAUAUUUAUUUUAUAGUCUCAAUUGUAAUAGUAUAUUCAACUUUUUUAGUUGAUAAUGAGAUAAUAUAUUGUAGCAUUCACUUCAAAUUUAUAAGAUUUUCACCUAAAGGAAAGAUAUUUUAUGUUGUAGAUCUCUUCUUGUUGAGAUUGCCCAUAAAAUCUAACAUAAUUAACAAGAAAUCAUACUUACUCUCUUGAAAUAGCAAAUCAGCAUUUAAUUUAUCCUUACAACAACAUGAAGUCUAUUUUAGUAUAUUCUAGUGCUAUUUCCUUCUUUUUGUCAUAUAUCUAUUAACACUACUAGUAACUUAUGAUAGAUCAUGCAAUACAAAUAAAACAUAUAAGACAAUUAGUUAAAUCAUUGUAAUGUAAAUUCAAAUCUCAUUUUUUCUUUAUUAGGUUUAAAGUAUUAUUGUAAAGACAACUGAAAAUAUUGAACUAAAGGUAUAGUAAUAAUAUUACCCUUUAUCACAUUGAAUUUACUCAAUAAUUUUUCAAUGUACCAUUUUUAAGUUAUAAUCUCUUGCAUCGUUUCUUCAUUUUAAGAUUCACUUGGGAGUAACUAUAUUUUUCAUAUUAAAUUUAUAAUUAAAUAUUUUCGAAUUUUUAAUACCAUCCAUAAAUUUGUUGCCAAUCAACAUGUCAAUAACAUAUAACAUGAGUAAAAUAAUAGAAGCAUUGUCAAGAAUUCUGCAUUUGUUAUAUUAUUUUGCAUAUUUUUUCUUUAUUUUCUUUUUAAAUUUAUAAUGUAAUUAUUUUUAACUAAGUUGAUCUAAUCCUAUCUAGUCUACUUCAUUUGUGUGCUACUAGGUUGGUAUAACUAUCAAUCAUAUAAAAAAAUGAAAAAAAAACAAGAGCUUUGGUCAUUUUUCUCUUCUACUCUUCUCAUAUUGCUAUUGCAAUAAGACACUCAAUAAGUAGCUUAAGACACUAAGUAAAGAGUUUGAAGGUUUGACAUGGUAUCAUAGCUUAGACAAUAGGUGUGAUACACCCCUUCAUGUUGUUUUUUAAGUAGUGACUAUCACCAGCCACGAAACACUUGGCAUAGUUGAACUAAAUUUAUUUCCUUUUGUUUAGUGUCAUUCACUCGAUUAAUUCACAUAGCUCUUUUCGUUCCCUUUAGUUCAAAAAGUAUUUGAGAAUAUGAUUUGAUAUAAUAAUUUGAAAAUCAUCUCUAAAGAUCAGCUCAAAUCAUUAAAACUUUCAAAUUAAUUUCUACGUUUUAAGUUCUGUUAAAAAUGUAAAUUUGAUGUAUUUUAUUUCAAUGACUAAAGUAUGAUCACUCUCUUCUUGUCCAAGCCAUAUAUUCAAUUUGAGGACAUAUAACUAUUGAACUUUUCCAACUUGGAUCAUGUAUUCCAAAGCCAUUGAACAUAUGACCAAUUUAUACUUAUUUUUUAUAUAUACUAUUCACAUCCUAGUAAUUGAAAAGUUGUCACACAUGAGGAUACUUAAUCGUAAUAGCAAACAAAGAAAAUAUAUUUCUUACUCCUCUCACUGUAAGAAUUUAGUUAUCUUCUUAUAUUGACCACAAAUUUACUAUUUGUUAAUAAACUUACUAUCGAUUUACAUUGUAAUGUGGUAUUCUAUCAUAAUUUGUGUGUUUUAGGACAAGAUAUCAUGAAAGAUGUUUAGACAUACAAGGAAGUAAGGUUGAUUAUACUUUUUGAAACACCCUUUUUAGUCACACAUUACAAAAGAAGUGAGUUCUUUCCUUCAAUCAUUGAUAAGAAAAGAAAUCAAGGUAUCGGCUAACUUAAUCAUUUUGGCUCACUAUUUUUAUGUAAAUGAUAAGUAAAAACCUUUUGAAUCCAACUCACCAAAUCAAAAUAUAUUAUUUUUUCUAAAAUAAAUAUGAGGACUUUUACUCCCUUCUUUUGUGUUCAUAAUGAUAUUUGAAACCCUUUAGUUGUUCAAUUUUUUUUGAAGCCAAAUGAUUUGUAAAAUAUAUUAAUAAUUAUAUUUGUGCUAAAAGGCAUUUUUGUAUAAAUAUAAAUCUAAUUUCAAAGCUAACAUUCUUAGACUUUUCUCUAUGAUUAAUACACAAUUUCGAGUGACUAUUAAAAAAUUAGAUUUGAUAAUACCAAUGAUUAUUUUACACAAGUCACUAUGUGUUAAUACACUAUAGCAAAAUGGAGUAGGUAAAAGAAAGAUGGUCAUCUUCUUAAGGGUAACUUAGUCUCUUCUUUUUAAAAAUCAUUGUCUUAAAUAUUUUUGAAAGGAAUCAGUUUGAAUAGUUAAUAACAUCAUAAAUUCUCUACCUUCUAAAAUAUUAAAAUUCAAAAUUCCCAAAAAAUAUUUUCAUCAUUUUAUUAUGAUGAUCUAUUAAAAACUAAUUUUUUUCUUAAAAUAUUAACAUUUAUCUAUGUACAUGAUCACCAUAAAGAUCAAUUAAGUUCUAGGGAUUUGAAAUACAUUUUUAUUAGAUAGUCACAAAUUUAAAAGGGUUAUAGGUGUUAUUAUCCUCCAUCAAAGAAUAUUUCAAUUGAUGCUAAUCUUAACUAAAAAGACUCUUAUUUUACCCCAUCUUAUCUUCAAAGAGAUAAUCAAGAUGAUAAAGGUAGUAUUAUAAAUCUAGUUGAGAAUCAAGUGACUUCAGUAGUUAGUUUUAAUUUUACUCUUGAAAAACUUCUUAAUUUUUUGCCUUUUGCACUCAUGUCUAAUCUUACAUCCAUAUUAGAGUUUAAUCCUAUUGACUCCUUAAAAAAAUUGAGAUUUGAUCGAAUAUAUUUCCAAAAGAAGAAGGAUGUCACAAAACUUACAUAUGUUAAGAAAUUUCACUUGGAUACACAUUUCUAGGAAGUUUACUUAAAUAUUAGAAAUGAGAUACAAAUUUGUCUUUCGUGAAACCACUUGAAGUUGAACUUAUUAUCAUUAUCAAAUGACCUUGAAAAUAUAUUAAGAGACCUAUAUACCAUCUCUCAUAUUAUUUUUCUUAUGAUCAUUUUUUACAAUCUAACAAAACUUUCUUUGCUGAUUUAAACACUAUUAUUGUCCCUACUAUUGUUGUUAUUUGUUUAGUAAAAAAUAGGAACAAGUUAUGAAUGAAGAGAUGAAAACCUUAAAUAAAAACAUCACUUGAGAGUUAGUGAAGGACCAAUUGGAAAGAAAGUUGUGGGUUCUAAAUGAGAAUACAUGAUAAAAUAUCAAGCUAAUAGAUCUAUUGAGAGAUAUAAUGUUAAACUAAUUAUUAAAGGGUACACUCAAAUAUAUGGACUUGAUUGCCUACAAAAUUUUACUCAUGCAAUAAAAAUGAAUAUAGUCAAAAUUAUUUUGUCACUAGUAACUAACUUCAGUUGAGAUUUACAACAAUUUAAUGUAAAAAAAAAUAAUUUUUCAUAGAUACUUAGAGCAAUAAAUUUAUAUAGGGAUCCCAUAGGGGUAUGAAAAUAGUUGGCUCAUAUUUUGGUUAAAUAAUUCAAGAUUAAAAUAUCAAAAUUUUGAAAAUAUUUUCUUAUAAUUGAAGUAGAAGAUCUAAAGAGAUAUUUGACAACUGAAGUAUAUUAUAGAUAUUUUACAGGUAAUUUUUAAAGUGACACUUAAACUAGAAAAUAUUUGAAAGAUUCAAAUACUAUACUUAGUAAUGGUUGAAAUAAUAAAAUUUUAAAUGGAGAAAUUUAUCAAAUAAUGGUUGAAAUUAUAGUUUAUGUAGUGAGUAUGAUUAGUUAAUUCAUGUAUAAUCCAAAAAAUAGUGAUGUUGAUUAUGGAAGAUCCAUUAUAUACAAAAAGAUACACCUUAGGAUAUUGUUCCUUAUUUGAUAAGAAUCUUAUCAUUUAAUAAAGAAACAAUAAAAUGUGGUGAGCCAUAACUCAAAGCAUAUAUAAAUUAUUGUGGGUGAAAAUCAUUCUAGAAGACUAAAAAAUUAAGAUGAAUGAUCUUAUGAAAUUUUAUAAAGACAAAAAAUCAACAAUCAAAAUUGCACAUAACUUAGUUCGACAUGAUCAUAAAUUUAUUGUAAUUGUUGAUAUAUAUUCAUAAACUUUAGGAGCAUAUAUCAAAAUUUUCAUCAUUAUAUAUCAAAUAUGGGACUUGUUGAUUUAUAUUCACAAACUUUAGGAGCUUAAAUAAUGAUAGAUAUAUAUCCAUUUUAUUCUAGUUAUUUUGAAUUAGACUAGAUUGGUAAGUCCAAUUCAGUUCAUGUACUAUUACACUAGUAUAAAUGCUAGUCUUAUGAGAAAACCUUAUUUUUGAAAAUGUGAACUAGAAAUUAAGGUUUUGUCUUGUUUUUGCUCCAUUUUUCUUAUUGCCAUUGUAGCUAAAGUUGGAGACAAUCAAUCAUGGAGUUUAGACACUCAACAAAGAGGUUGAAUGCUUUGAUAACUAUCAUUGAAGAAAUAAGUCUAAGUUAAAAAAUAUUACCUACUUUUUUUUCUUCUAGAAUUAAACAAAUGGAUUUGCAAAUAAAAGUGCUAAUGCCACAACUAGUCCAUAAAUGUAUUAUAUUUUUUAUGUCACUCUUGUGAAGUUUGUCUCGUUGGUUUUUUUUAUUGUAACAUCUACAUUUCUUCAUUUAGAAUUUUAUAUAGUAAUAUAAUUUUGACAUCAAGUCAUUCAAAUUUCACAUCCCACAUAGUUGUCAUAAAACAUAACUUUGUACAAUAUUUUACAUCUAAUAAUAAAGUUUCAUUGAAGUCAAUAUUUUUCUUUUGCCCAAAUCUUUUUACUACAUGAUGAAUCUUACAUUUGUGUUGUUCUACUUCUAAUAUAAGUUUUUUACACACUCACUUGUAGUCAAUUGACUUAUUGACGUUUGAAAGUUUGUCUAAAGCCUAAGUUUUAUCUUUUAAAAGAGAAUUCAUCUGUUUUUCUAUAUAAAUCCUCCAUUUGAAUGUUUUGACUCUCAACUACCUCUAGAAAUAAUAUAAGGUUAAAUGGUAUAACUUAAAAACAUGAAAGACUUUAUUGAAAAAUCUUAAUGUUGGUGCCCAUAUGACUAAUUACACAAAUCAAGAGAGGUGAAUUGAUUCUUUAUUCUUAUCCAAUUGAUUACCCUUUUCUACUCGUUUUUAGUUUUUCAUAUUUGUUUUUCUUAAAUUGAAGUUAAGAGGACAAAGAGAGAUACAUAUAAUAUGAUAAUAGUUUGUCUAAAACCUCUUUGGCCUACGUCUACUUCCAACAUCAUGAUUUCAAUUCAUCUAUUAUUAUUGUGGGACAACGAAUGAUUUCACAUAAUCAACAUCACUUGUAACAUAGAUUUUACAAGUCUACUUCUCAAGUUAAUUUUCUAAGGUCUCUAGCAACCUGUUGUAACAUAUACUCUGUGAAUUUAUUCCUUGUAAGUAUUUUACAAGCUCUCUAACAACCUUUUGUAAUAUGAGUUUACUCUUUGCUAUUUUUAUAAAAUCUCUAACAAUCUUUUACAUAAUAGACUUUAAGUUUAUAUCUCCUCACUAGUUUUCAUAGCUCUUUAACAAUCAUGAUAGUAUAAACUUCACAUGUCUACCUAUCCAUUAUUCUUAUGACUCUAAUAAACUUCAAUAACAUGUGAUAAAUAUUCUAAAAUUCCAGAUCAAUAAUACGAAGUAUUUAGCUCUAAUGUACCACAAUUUUCUUCUAGGGCAAUGAAGCUUGUUGUGUAAGAAAGGUGGACAUGAUGAAGUUCCUAAAUGUUUGAGUAAUAAGAGAUUUUUUCAAAUGUUAUUAAAAAUUAGUGAUGUGAGCUACAACCAUAUCAAUUUGGAUAGAGUUUCCUCAUAAAUAAUGAAAGAAAGAUCAUAAAAAUUGAUUAUGAGUCUCCCCCACCCUUUAUCUUUGUCACAUUGGGCCAAAUGGUAGCUCAAUGAUUAGUCGAAUGGACCUUAAAUGGAUUAUUUUUGAGUUUAAAAUACAUAAGAAUGUAGCCGUAAAUGAUGUGUAGCUUAUAACUAUUUGAUAUUUUUUAUUUUGACAAUUUUUGUGUUAUAUUUCUUUCUAAGUAAGCUUUCCAAUGACUAGUCCAUUGCUCAUAUCUCUUACAUUAUUUAAGAUAAAAUCUAUUUUAAUCAACUAAUUUAGACAUUUAGACCAUUUACCUUUAGACAAAAUUUUGAAAGGAUUAAUUUAGAAAACCCAUAACAAAUGAAAUGAUUCAAAUUUUUAUGAUAUGUUUACUAGGUUAUAUUCUCUUUCAAUUACCUUUUUGAUGAAUGGUUGUAAGCUUAUAUGUGAAUUAACUUGCCUAGAUAAAAUUUAUUUUAUUCAAUGUCUCAAAACUAAUGACAAUUAUGUUCUUUUGUGAAUUUGAGUUGGUUUAAAAUGACAUUUUAUGCGUUACUCAUGUCAUAAAAGUAUCAUCUAAUUAAGUUUUGUCAUAAAAAAAAUAUUGUAAACCUUUCAUCACUAAUAUUAAUAACAUAUUGAUUUCUCUUCUUCAACAUUGUGUGGCAAUAAAGUAUUUAUUUAAUUUAGUUGUAUAGAAAAAUCAUAAUAAUGUUUUGACCUUUUUAUAUCUACAUACUAUUUUGACAUCUUCAUUCAACUCCACCUUAAUCAUGCUAUAUGAAUCAUUAUCAUUAGAAGUUGUACAUUGAUUUUUUUUCAAUAUUGAUAUUUUAUCAAAAAUCAUAGUUGUUGAGAUAUGCCUUAUAUGUUAUAGGAUUCUAUAAAUUAUCUCUUAACACCUUCUCUAUACAUAGAAAUAACAUAUUACUUUAGUUUACCUCAAACUUUAUUUAUUGAUGUAAGAUAAUAAGGAUAGUCAAAGAUUUUUAGAUUAUAAUAUUUUACUGGUUACUAGACUUAGCUUUCUAUGAUAUCUUGAGUCUCACUAAUGUAGAAAGUAAGUAAUUCAUCAAAUAGCAUGUUGUAUUGACUACUUAUAAGAUACAAAAAACUUCAUGGAAUGUGGUUUUUUAGUCAAUAUUCUGGUAAUCUUUUCAUUUGCUUUAUUGUGUUGUGGCAUCUAUGAACUAAUUAAGUGAUGAAAAAUACAUUCCAUCAAACAAAAAACCUUAAACCAUGUUAAGAUAUACUCGUCAUCAUUGUCAUAGCAUAAAAAACUGAUAUGUUUUCAAUGCUGAAGUGUGUCAAACAUUUAGGACGUGUUUCAAAAAGUAUACUUAUACUUUCUUGGAAAACCAUCAAGAAAGGUGAUAGAAAAUAAAAUUAUUUUACACAAAACAUUUGGAGAUAUACUCUAAACAUACGAUAUCACAUAUUCAAUAAUAGUAUCACUUUUUUUAGUCGAAGUAACAAAUUUAAUCUUGCAGCUUUUGUCAAUUAUACAAUAUUUAUACAAUUAAAAUUGUUGUUAUAUUGAGUAAUUUAUUUUGUGGAAAUCCAACAUUUCUUUUUUGUUCAUAUGAUCAUAGUAUGUUACAAUAUGAUAGCAUUAUCAUUUUUAAAGUAUGAUAUGAAUAAUGUAUCGCAAUUAGAUCUUAUUCAUUUCAAAUGUUGUCACUAAACUUACGUACUUUUUCUUUUUCAAAACGAGCUUCGUGAAGUUUUUGUUGUACAAGGAUUGACUUUUAUUGAAAUAAAUAUUUCCAUCAAAUAUAAUAAAUUCAAAAUUUGUCAUUGACAUCUUCAUAAUAUCUUAAAACAAAACUAACACCAACUUUUACUCUGAUACGAAAUGUUGUGACAAAUAAAAACCAAAUGGGUGGUGCCAAUUGUUUUAUGGGGAGAGAGAGAGAGAGAGAGGNNNNNNNNNNNNNNNNNNNNNNNNNNNNNNNNNNNNNNNNNNNNNNNNNNNNNNNNNNNNNNNNNNNNNNNNNNNNNNNNNNNNNNNNUAGGAGAGAGAGAGAGAGAGAGAAGGGGGGGGAGGAAAGAGAGAGAGAGGGAGAGAACCAGAGAGAGUCCCAAGGCCCAGCCCAGAUAUGAAAUGGGCCCAGUCAGCUGACAGCCACUUUGUCCUUAUUAACUCUGAAUGCGAGGGAUACAGGGGGAGAGGGAUAGGGAGAGAGGGCGGGGCCCUGGUAACUCAAAACACACCAACCAUUAACUAGAAAACAUUGAGCGGAGUGAAUCCUUCCCUGAACAAGAACACCUGCUGCGUAGAAGACCUAGGGUUCCCUAUAAAGCGUCUACAAACCAAGCGCUCCGCUCCAGUUUCCCCCGCUCAGGGAUGGAGAUCGCCGGGGGAGAGGGGCCCUCAU
rnacentral:lncRNA from 1 species